rnacentral:rRNA from 1 species
UACGUAGGUCACAAGCGUUAUCCGGAAUUAUUGGGCGUAAAGGGUCUCUAGGUGGUCAAGCGGGUCUCCGGUAAAAUUCCCAAGCUCAACUUGGGUUUCGCCUGAGAAACUACUUGGCUUGAGGAUAGCAGGGGCAGAUGGAAUUCCCGGUGUAGCAGUGAAAUGCGUUGAUAUCGGGAAGAACACCAAUGGCGCAGGCAGUCUGCUAGGCUAUCUCUGACACUGAAGGACGAAAGCGUGGGGAGCGAAUGGG